rnacentral:rRNA from 1 species
GUUUGAUCCUGGCUCAGGAUGAACGCUAGCGGCAGGCCUAACACAUGCAAGUCGAGGGGUAUAAGUAGCAAUACUUAGAGACCGGCGCACGGGUGAGUAACGCGUAUGCAACCUACCUUAUACUGGAGAAUAGCUCAGUGAAAACUGAAUUAAUACUCCAUAAAGCAGGGGUACCUCCUGGUACUAUUUGCUAAAGAUUUAUCGGUAUAAGAUGGGCAUGCGUGCCAUUAGCUAGUUGGUAGGGUAACGGCCUACCAAGGCUACGAUGGCUAGGGGGUCUGAGAGGAUGAUCCCCCACACUUACUGAGACACGGACCAGACUCCUACGGGAGGCAGCAGUGAGGAAUAUUGGUCAAUGGACGCAAGUCUGAACCAGCCAUGCCGCGUGAAGGAUGACUGCCCUAAGGGUUGUAAACUUCUUUUGUACGGGGGUAAUUUUCCGGUUGUAACCGGAAUUGAAAGUACUGUAUGAAUAAGCGUCGGCUAACUACGUGCCAGCAGCCGCGGUAAUACGUAGGACGCAAGCGUUAUCCGGAUUUAUUGGGUUUAAAGGGUGCGUAGGCGGACCCGUAAGUCAGUGGUGAAAUACUGUCGCUCAACGAUAGCAUUGCCAUUGAUACUGUGGGUCUUGAGUACAGUUGAGGUAGGCGGAAUGUGUAGUGUAGCGGUGAAAUGCUUAGAUAUUACACAGAACACCGAUUGCGAAGGCAGCUUACUAAGCUGAAACUGACGCUGAGGCACGAAAGCGUGGGGAUCAAACAGGAUUAGAUACCCUGGUAGUCCACGCCGUAAACUAUGAUGACUGGUUGUUAGCGAUAUACCGUUAGCGACUGAGCGAAAGCAUUAAGUCAUCCACCUGGGGAGUACGUCGGCAACGAUGAAACUCAAAGGAAUUGACGGGGGCCCGCACAAGCGGAGGAACAUGUGGUUUAAUUCGAUGAUACGCGAGGAACCUUACCUGGGCUCGAACGUGAGAGGAAUUAUGUUGAAAGAUGUAAGCCAGCAAUGGCCUCUUACGAGGUGCUGCAUGGUUGUCGUCAGCUCGUGCCGUGAGGUGUCGGCUUAAGUGCCAUAACGAGCGCAACCCUUAUUGUUAGUUGCCAGCGGGUAAUGCCGGGGACUCUAACAAAACUGCCAGCGUAAGCUGUGAGGAAGGCGGGGAUGACGUCAAAUCAGCACGGCCCUUACGUCCAGGGCUACACACGUGUUACAAUGGAUGGUACAGAGGGCAGCUACUUCGCGAGAAGAUGCUAAUCUCGAAAGCCAUUCUCAGUUCGGAUUGGAGUCUGCAACUCGACUCCAUGAAGUUGGAUUCGCUAGUAAUCGCGCAUCAGCCACGGCGCGGUGAAUACGUUCCCGGGCCUUGUACACACCGCCCGUCAAGCCAUGGGAGCUGGGGGUACCUGAAGUACGUGACCGUAAGGAGCGUCCU